UCCACUGUUGCGUUUUUCGUACGCACGUACACGCACGUAAAACUUUAAAUCCGUUUAAAUGUUACUUAUGAAAUGACCAAAUAAAUAAAGCAACAGAAUUUAGUGUUCCGCAAGUUUUAGCAUGCAUUAAUUGUUAACUUAUUUGUAAAAUAUUUAAAAAAUAGAAGGAUUCAAAGUUUUACGUGCGUGUACGUGCGUACGAAAAACGCAACAGUGGA